CGGUGGCUGCGGCGCGCGUGAGUGUCUUUAAUCUCUCGGGCCGAUAAAUACAUCUCGGGAGCUGUCCCUGUUUUUCCCGCGUGUUUUGCCGCGCAUGGUUAAGCAUACGGUGCCCACCUAUCUAUGAUAGGGCCAGAUGACGAUAAUGCAACACAACGGCGUUCGCGGCUUUUUU
rnacentral:other from 1 species